UUCUUUUGCAACAUUUAAUCUAAUCUCAAUCUGACAUAGACUUCAACUUGUUUAAUUUCUUCAUUAAAUUUUCUGUUGCUGUUAAAAUGAGCUGUAUUGGUUGUAAUGGGCAGAUGUUAUACUGCAGUUUCCGGUGAGACACUGUGACUCCACCACAACUGAAACAACAGGUCACUCUUAUCUGGGCUGCUGUUUAGUCUCAUGAAAAACUACUAGAGCUCACCUCAGAUGACUCUCAGAAUGUUUGCUGCAGAUCUUCUUGUAUUCAGCUCUAUUCUAUCAGCUGCUUGGUGUCAGUCAGUUCUGAAAGUAUCGGUCCCCAGAACCCUGAUCAGCACCAGCGGCUCUUGCCUUCUGAUUCCCUGCCUAUUCAACAUUUCAAAGGAGAAAGAAAACAUUCUUGAAAGUUCACCAGUACUAAAAUGGAGGCAAAGUUUUACCAGCGCUCACCAUCAGAUGGAUCCUGUGAUGGAUAUGGUGGGUGACCUACGAAAGAAGAACUGCACUUCUGUCAUGAGAAACCUCAGCAGCCAGCAUUCAGAUCCUUACUUCUUCAGGAUUGAAACUAAGACCUCCACUAUGACUGAAACAACAGCUCUGUAUAUAAAUGUAUCAGUCGCUAGGAGCCUGCUGAUGUGAAAGAUCUAUAUUGCAGCAUUAUCUGAACUUAGACAUACCAGAUCCGGAACAACAACCGUCUACAAACCCAGUUCAAAUGAAAAAAUGAUGCCAUUCUACUCUGGAGGAGAGUAAAGAGAGGCUGGAGUCGGCUUUAUGGUGGACAACCAGACAAGAAGGAGUGUACUGACCUUCCAGCCAAUAUCAAACUGCCUGGCUGUACUAACCAUCCACGGUACUAUCCAAAUGCACCUUCUAGCCAUUAGAAGAUGAGGUCAAAGGUGAUUUCUAUGACCAAUUGCAAUGCAUGCUGGACUUGAUCCCGAGGACCGAGUUGAUCAUCCUAGUGGCAGGGGGAUGUUUAGAGCAUUUUAAAUGGGGGGGGGGGGGGGGGCUUUCUAGUCUAUAAGCCAUUUAAAAUGUAUAACUUUGUUUUUCGGCUACACACACAUUGCACAGUUUCCACCCCUUACCAAAAAGAAGUAUACUUCGACUUUAUUUUAUUAAGUAUACUUAAGUAAAGUUAUAGUAUAUUUUUAAGUAUACUUUAUGAAGUAGGUAUACAAAUAUCAGUGUAC
ensembl:lncRNA